UACGGCCAGCACCUUUGAAACACUGGUUUUCGUACGAACACCGAAGUUAAGCAAGGCUUUUCGGUACCCAGCUGGGUGACUGCUUGGGAAUACUAGGUGCUGUAA